rnacentral:rRNA from 1 species
UGCGUAGGCGGAAUGAUAAGUUAGUGGUGAAAGCCCCCGGCACAACCGGGGAACUGCCAUUAAUACUGUCAUUCUUGAGUAUAGUUGAAGUGGGCGGAAUGUAUCAUGUAGCGGUGAAAUGCUUAGAUAUGAUACAGAACACCGAUAGCGUAGGCAGCUUGCUAAACUAUAACUGACGCUCAGGCACGAAAGCGUGGGGAGCAAACAGGAUUAGAUACCCUGGUAGUC